AAGAGUUGGCGCGAGAGUUGCGGAUGGGUCAAAUCAACCCAUUCGAGGAAAGUCCGGACUCCCGAAAGACCAGACUUGCUGGGUAACGCCCAGUGCGCGCGAGCGUGAGGAUAGUGCCACAGAAAAAUACCGCCUCUAAUUUUAGAGGUAAGGGUGCAAAGGUUUUGCGGUAAGAGCGCACCAGCAGUAUCGUGAGGUACUGGCUCGGUAAACCCCGGUUGGGAGCAAGGUCGAAGGGGCAAAGGUUGGUCUUUUCCCUGUCCCGUUUUAGGUGUACCGCAUGAGGCGUUUGGUAACAAACGUCCUAGAUAGAUAACUCUCCACUGAACAGAAUCCGGCUUAUGUCCAACUCUUUUCU
rfam:Cyanothece sp. ATCC 51142, genomic sequence.